UAGGGAAUAUUGGACAAUGGGGGCAACCCUGAUCCAGCCAUGCCGCGUGCAGGAAGACUGCCCUAUGGGUUGUAAACUGCUUUUGUACGGGAAGAAACCUCACUACGUGUAGUGAGUUGACGGUACCGUGAGAAUAAGGAUCGGCUAACUUCGUGCCAGCAGCCGCGGUAAUACGAAGGAUCCAAGCGUUGUCCGGAUUUACUGGGUUUAAAGGGUGCGUAGGCGGGCUAUUAAGUCAGUGGUGAAAGCCUGUAGCUUAACUAUAGAAUUGCCAUUGAAACUGAUAGUCUUGAGUAUGUUUGAGGUUACUGGAAUAUAACAUGUAGCGGUGAAAUGCUUAGAUAUGUUAUAGAACACCAAUUGCGAAGGCAGGUAACUAAGUCAUAACUGACGCUGAGGCACGAAAGCGUGGGGAGCAAACAGG
rnacentral:rRNA from 1 species